rnacentral:rRNA from 1 species
GAUGAACGCUGGCGGCGUGCCUAAUACAUGCAAGUCGAGCGAACAGACGCGGCGCUUGCUCCUCUGACGAUAGCGGCAGACGGGUGAGUAACACGUGGAUAACCUACCUAUAAGACUGGUAUAACUUCGGGACACCGGAGCAAAUACCGUAUAAUAUAUUGCACCGCAUGGUUCAAUAGUGAAAUACGGCUUUUCUGUCACUUAGAGCGAUCCGCGCGGCAUUAGCUAGUUUGUAAGGUAACGACUUCUCAAGCCAACGAUGCGUAUGCGAACUGAGAGGGUGAUAGGCCACACGGGAACUGAGACACGGUCCAGACUCCUACGGGAGGCAGCAGUAGGGAAUCUUCCGCAAUGGGCGAAAGCCUGACGGAGCAACGCCGCGUGAGUGAUGAAGGUCUUCGGAUCGUAAAACUCUGUUAUUAGGGAAGAACAAAUGUGUAAGUAACUAUGCACGUCUUGACGGUACCUAAUCAGAAAGCCACGGCUAACUACGUG